rnacentral:lncRNA from 1 species
GCUGCACGCAAAGAGCAAUCAGCACUUCGGGCUGUCAUCAAGUGCAUUGAAGAGUACAAACUCGAGGCUGAGUUUCCGCCUGAAAACCUCAAGAAACGCCUUGAGCAGCUAGAGAAGACCAAGACUGAGAAGAGAAAACCAGUUGUAGUCCCUGCUAACAAGCGAACGCGUGUAAAUAAUGGUGGUCCGAUGCCUCCUGCUAAAGCUGGCCGUUUGACGAAUGCAUAUGUCUCAUCUUUCCCGGCACCUCCUCCAUUUGUAAGUUCUCCCUCCCACACCCAGUACCCUACUCCAGUCCCAGGAUACCCAUCCCCACCUCCCAUGUAUGGAAGCAGGAGCCCACCCACCAACCCCUAUGCUUACUCACCAGAAGCAGCCCCUCCUCCCCUUGCUGGUUCAUACCCUGGAGCUCCCAUGAACUAUCCUGCAUACGGGGGCUACGGUAAUGGUUUGGCACCAGCAUAUCAGCAGGCUUACUACCGAUAGACAACGAUGAC